rnacentral:lncRNA from 1 species
UGGUGACACUUUUCAAAACAUCUACCCAUGAUUCUGACAUCCUAUCCAUUCUAUCUGAGGUGUAACUUGGAAUUUUUCCUGUACAUCAUUCUGUUUCGAAUGCCAUAUUGAGUUUUGGGGAUGCAAAUACUGCAUGAAGAGGUUUGUCAUAUUAUCCUUGUGGAAACAAUGAAGAAAUGUGGGCUGCGUGAUGGACCUACUUGGAGGAUUCCUAACUGGUGACUCACUGUACCCAAUGAGUGGCUCAGAUGAAGAUGUAGGUGUCCAGCUCAUCACACUUCCAGAUGACACAAAGAGGAACAGGAUCAUUAAUAGGUUGGAUGACAGAAUUGAUGUUCGAAAUGAUCUUGACAGGCUGGAACGAUGACCCUAUAUGAACGAAUGACAUUUGGAGGAAGGCGGAUGCGGAGUCCUGCAGAUAUUAUCUAUUGACUAUUAUGGAAGAUGAGGACUGAGCUUUCUUAUACCAUCAUCUAUAUUCACUUUACCUUUGUUCAUUCUCUCAAUACACUUAUAUCACAAUUUGGAGUAAAAUCAAUAGUCUGUGUCUGUGUAUAUAAAUAUGUAAAUAUUUCUUUUCCUCUCUCUCUCUCUUUUUUUU